rnacentral:misc_RNA from 1 species
CGGACACAUACCAGGGCUGUAGUUGUCUUUGCGCUCGAAACAUGAUCACUUCAUCGGGGAAAGGGACUUCAUUGACCACCAUUGAGGAAUUUCGACGUCGGGCUAAAGAGUUGCUUACAGAAGAAGGCUGGUUGUUUUAUAAUGCUGCAGCGGGACAACGGUCUACAUUUCAAGAGAGUGUGACUGCAUUUGAUCGUUACGUGAUUCGUCCUCGUAUCCUUCGUGACGUCACACGUCGUUCUUUGUCUACCACUGUGUUGGGUCAACCAAUCAGCAUGCCUAUCUGCGUAGCUCCAUCGGCAGCGCAACGCUUCGCCCAUCCCGAUGCGGAGGCAGCAUCGGCUAAAGGAACCGCAGAUGCAGACACUCUGUAUAUCAUGUCGUCCUUUGCUAGUUCAGCUAUCGCCGAGGUUUCUCAGGUAGCUCCUGGUGGAUUGAAAUGGAUGCAGCUGUAUCUCUUCAGAGAUCGUCGUUUUGCAGAAAACGUGGUGAGGGAGGCUGAGAAAAAAGGAUUCAAAGCGAUCGUGCUUACGGUCGAUUUACCUCUAUGGCCAGACUUUUCAUCAAAUAAAUCUUCAACAUCGAGAUAUCAUUACGAUCCAAACCUAAGACCAACAAAUUUAGCUCUGGAUAUACCAGAGGUAAAUGAAGCUAUCCGUUCAGGUGACGUCAACUUGCGUCAUUUUUUUGCUGAGCAGUACAAAUCACCUAAGACAUGGGAUGACAUCACUUGGCUCAAGUCAAUCACAUCACUUCCAAUCGUGCUGAAGGGUAUCUUAACGGGAGAGGCUGCUCAAGAAGCGGCCGAUGCUGGUGUCUCUGGAAUCAUCGUAUCAGCUCAUGGUGGAAGAUACAUGGAUGGCAUUCCCGCUCCGACGUCCUACCAGAAGUUGUGUCAGCUGUCAAAGGUCGUGGAGUUGAGGUUUACAUGGAUGGAGGGAUUCGAUCAGGAACCGAUGUCCUCAAAGCUCUAGGAUUGGGAGCACGGGCUGUACUGAUCGGGAGACCAGCACUCUGGGGACUAGCUUGUGAUGGACCUGCUGGAGUUAACAAGGUAUUAUCAAUAUUACGAAACGAACUGGAUAUGGCCCUGGGUAUUU